CAAAUGGCAUGGUUAGAGAAGUACUACUUGUCUACAUGCUUUAGGAAUAUGUUGUCUACUUUCUGGUGCACCACAAGCUUUAUUGCCACCAUUUCUCUUAUUAUUUGUGCUGGAUUUUAAUUCAUAGUUUAGAUCACAUUUCUGCAGCUUUCCAGCACUGAUUGGUGUCAGUGAAACAGCAAAAGAGAGAGAGAGAGAGAGAGAGAGAGAGAGAGAGAGAGAGGCAAAAGCUGGUUACUGACAGCUUUGCUGCAUCAAAACUGAGAGGAAGAGAUUACAAACACGCACUGCGGCACUUAUUAGAUCAGACACGUACGAUUCAGAGAUUGGCGUCCGUGGAUCCACGCCUCUCACUGUCAGUCUCCCUUGGCUUCCUUCUCCUUGGGCUUGUUGCUCUUCUUCGUCUUCAUGAAGCAGAAGCAGGAGCAGCACGGGCACUGGAACAAGAACUUCAUGAUGGCGAUGCCGUGCACCUCAGGUGCAGCACUCACAGCUCUGUGCUCCGAUGGUGGAACAACGACCUCGCUCUUCCACCUUAUCCUCCUCUCUUUAUUAAAUCGACUCGCAUCAAUUCCAUCCGCGUCACUUCCAGAAGGAAGAUGCCCAUGACCGCACUCAAAAGUCACCUCCUCUUCGAUUCUUCCAAAUGGUGGGUCAUCUCCUCCUUUCUGAACCGCUGCUGCUGGUUCAAGUAACCCUACGUUGGGUUAGUCUUUGAAUCACACGGCAUUACUUUUUCUCCAGAGCCAGCGGCAAGCAUUCUUUUCCCCGGCAACAACAGCUGCACCACCAACAACAGUCAUCAUUCAUCUUAAGAUUCUCUCGGCCCACGGAUAAGAUCACGUCGACCCCAUCCGUAGCAACUUCUAUCUUACUUACUGUCUGGAAGAGUCGAAGCGGUGUGGGACACAGGUCAGCAUGUGCUUCCGUCUCUUUUGUCUCGGCAGAAUCUUCCAUGGGAGGGGCAUGGCCACCGUUCUUUGGCCGAGAAAAGGGUUUAUAACGUGGAAGAAGACGCACAUGGACGGCUUGUCAAUCGGUACUCCCUGUCUCCCAUGGUGAGUUGCUUGGCCUUACGAGUGCAUGUUGCUGUGGUAGUUCUACUUUCACUGCACGUUGAUGCUCUCUGUUGGUGAACCGAUACAUCGUUGUUGAUGAGUCAUUACGGCCUGAUUCACGGGUCAACGUUAGGAGUCUUCGACGAGGUCGAUCGCGUCCUCCAGAUGUGGGUGCCGUCGUAAUGUGGAUUAGCGUCUCUCGAUCUGGAUGUUCACACCGGGGGUGAUCGCUUUCAUGCACAUAAGGCCCUCGUCAGGUCGUUAUCGACUGUGACCCCUCGACAAGUAAGUCAGUGUGAGUUUCUCUCUCUCUCUUUCCGUCCCCCUGGCCAAAUGUCGGUCAAGGAUUUUUAUAUUACUGUUCGAGGGUCGAUCGUAUGCAGAUUUUAGUGUAGCAAUCGGUCCUCGAGGGGUGAGGAUGUACCUUAGCGUGGCGUCGGCCCGGGACGUACGAAACGAAACGAUACCAUGCAGCGCCAUCCCAAGCUUUCUAAGACGGGACGUACCGAGGAAUGCCUCGAUACGAAUCCUGGCUUGGCACGUGGGAAUACUCUGCUUAUUGACCCGAUGGUGGCGUGGCGUGGCGUUAGCGAUGAGCGAUGAGGUAGCCAGAGCCCAAAAUAUAAUUUAUCACUCUCUUCUUUCAGUAAUUGCAGAUCCUGUAAUGUCUUCAUUUUA